GGUCUCCGUUGGUGAACCAGCGGAGGGAUCAUUACAGAGUUAUCCAACUCCCAAACCCAUGUGAACAUAUCUCUUUGUUGCCUCGGCGCAAGCUACCCGGGACCUCGCGCCCCGGGCGGCCCGCCGGCGGACAAACCAAACUCUGUUAUCUUCGUUGAUUAUCUGAGUGUCUUAUUUAAUAAGUCAAAACUUUCAACAACGGAUCUCUUGGUUCUGGCAUCGAUGAAGAACGCAGCGAAAUGCGAUAAGUAAUGUGAAUUGCAGAAUUCAGUGAAUCAUCGAAUCUUUGAACGCACAUUGCGCCCAUUAGUAUUCUAGUGGGCAUGCCUGUUCGAGCGUCAUUUCAACCCCUAAGCACAGCUUAUUGUUGGGCGUCUACGUCUGUAGUGCCUCAAAGACAUUGGCGGAGCGGCAGCAGUCCUCUGAGCGUAGUAAUUCUUCAUCUCGCUUCUGUUAGGCGCUGCCCCCCCGGCCGUAAAACCCCCAAUCCAUUCUGGCUGACCUCGGAUCAGGUCGGACUACCCGCUGAACUUCCGCAC
rnacentral:rRNA from 1 species